AUGCUCAGUUUUCUUUUUCCUUUUACUUGAUUCCUCUAAACAAUACUGAGUUUUGCUCCAGCAUCUUUUUCACUAAGAUGUCCUUGUCAUUGUUUACAUUUUGAACAAACAUACUGUUAAAGAUCAUAACAUGAUUUAUCCAUCAUAGAGCUGCUUGGUAGUAAGUUGAUGAAAUUUUUUUUUUUUGCGUGCUACAAUACUUGCAUAUUCUUUGAUUAAUAACUAACAAGAACGUGCAUCUGAGGAAGAAAUAAAAUAACAGGUUUGUAUGUUAAAUUUGUGUCCAUUUUAUUUUAAUUUCUUAAUUUUCAUCAGCUUUAGAUCAUGUCAAUUUAUAUAUUUUUGUUACUACUAUUUGCAAGGCCCAUUAGAUAUUGAAGGUACUAAAGCUAUAAUUUUCUUUAUAAUUGUUUCAAAUUUGAACAUUCACAUUUCACGUUUUAGGAUUUUCAUCUUCACUUCAAGUCUUAGAUUUACUUUUUUUUCAUUUUAUUUCAUUAAUAUUUUAAGUAGGAAUUAAAAUUAUUAACAUAAUGACUUUUUGAAUUGGACGUGGAUAUGUAUAGGAUUGAACAAUUUAACAAAUUUGAAGAAACUCGAUUUAACUUGGUUGAAGUUUUGUAUGUUUUCUUAUUUCCAUUUCCUUUUUGUCCUGUUUCUUUGCCUCUCUUCUAUUGCAAUUUUUUCUAAGCCAGAUUCUGUCAGCAAGAAGGUACAUUUUAGUCUCCAGUUACAGACAGAUCCUAGGCAAAAUUAUCUCCAUGCUAAAUCUUGUCUUCAGCCUUCAGAUACUCCUGCAUCAAAAACUCUUUCUUGGCACUUAUCCUCAGAAACCAAGUCUACUUUGAAAGUCACUACUCAGAGGUAGGUUCUUGUAUGAAAGACCUGUUGAAGAGGAGAGACCACCUUCAGUGGCAGUGAGUGAAUUAAAUCAAUUAAGUCACUACUCAGAAGUAAAAUAUCCAUUAGCCUGUUACUUUAUCAGAAUGUGUUAUAUUUCCUCAACAAUGUCUAAUUUGAGUUUAUAGAAGCAAUAAACUCAUGUAGUAAAUAAUGGAUGUAGUAAACCCGUUUCAGUCUAAUUUCAAAGGGUUUUUGAAUUUCCAUUUUAGUCUAUAAAUUUUCAAGUUUAUUACUGUACAUUUUGAACUUGUGCAUUUUUUUUUGCAAUCAACUAGUUGCAUUAUUUGAACUUGUAAUUUUGUUAUUUAAAUAUUAACAUGAUUUUUCAAUAUUUGACUAAAAAAUUAAUUUAUUAUAUGAUUAAAUAUCAUCUUUUUGACUAAAAGUAUAUAUUUAAUACUAAAUAAUUUUUGAUAUUAAUAAUGUUUGAUUUUAAUAUUUAAUAUUUUAAAAAGUUAGUGGCGUUUGUAACCAAAGCGUCGCUAAAAGGUCUUGAGCUCUUGUGCCGUUUGUGGAAAAGCGCCGCUAAAGGUCGUGAUCUAUAGCAGCGUUUGUGAGAAAGCGUCGCUAAAGGUCUUGAUCUUUAGCGGUGUUUGUGAGUAAAGCGCCGCUAAAGAUCAUGUUCUUUAGCGGCGUUUGAGGGUAAAGCGCCGCUAAAGAUCAUGUUCUUUAGCGGCGUUUGAGGGUAAAGCGCCGCUAAAGACCAUGUUCUUUAGCGGCGUUUGUGGGUAAAGCGCCGCUAAAGAUCAUGUUCUUUAGCGGCGUUUUUUAUCAUAAACGCUGCAAAAGUUAGUGACGUUGUCAAAAACGGCAUUUUUUGCGGCGCUAGUGAAAGCAAAAAAUUAAAAUAAUAGUAUGCGAAAAUUUAAAAUAAUAUUAAUAAUAAAUUUAGAGUAAUUAUGAUGAUAAACUAAAAAUAAUAAUACAAGAAAACAUAAAAUAAUACAUAUAAAAAAACUUUUAAAAUAAUAAUACAACAAUAAAUUUAUAAUAAUAAGUUUAAUUAUUACAAUUAUACUAGAUUUAAAAAUAAAUAUAUUAAAAACAACAGAAUAAAAUAUUUAAAUAAAUUUUUAUAAAAGAAAUGAGCAAAUUUAAAUAAGGAUUAAAUCGAAUUUAAAACCAAAUUAAAAGGAAAAUAUGUAAAUAAAAAAAACUGAGGGCCAAAAUGUGGCACGCGAAUAACAUGGGGGACUUAAUGGAAAAUAUUCCCUUCUCCUCCAAAAUGCGGCGCUGCAAUCUGGGUUAAAAUGAAACAAAAAAGAUAACUGCGGGGACAAAAUUAAAAUUAAAAAAAAAAUCAAAUUGAAUCAAUUAUAGAAGUGAGGGGACUAAAACCAUAAAUUUCCCACUUAAGCUUCAAAAACACGCGAAUACCUUUCGGAUUGGGUUGGGUCGCGCUAGUCAUGGCCUAUACGACGUCGUUUCAAUGCCUAUAACCCCUGCUCAAAACGGUACUGUAUGGCACCACUAUUUAAAAUGGUACUGUAUGGUACCACUGAUUAGUCCUUUGGGUCAGUUUGUACAGGUUAGUAAGUCGUAUAGGCAGUGUCUGUUGGAAAUUCAAGGUGUUAUGUUUUCGGCUAAUCUGAUGGAGUUACCUUUCGGUGUGUUUGAUCUGGUUUCGAGUAUGGACUGGCUUAUGGAGUUACCAUCUAGUGAGUUUGAUCUAUCUAUCUAUCUAUCUAUUAUCCUAUGAAAAACAAUAUAUAACAUAUGCAUAUUAAAAGAUCUCUAGAAACAUAACUUUAAUGAAGCAUAAGUAGCAAUCACAUGUGGGACAUUUCAAUAAAAUGUCCAUACACUAAAGAAAUGUGGGCAUUACAGUUCUAUUGUCAUGGUUGUAAUGCCACAAAAAUUUUUAACUUUUGGAAUUGUUAGAAAUUUAUGAGUAAAGUGAUUUGGUUCGGUGUGAUAAGUUUUGGGUCCGAAUCCUUUCCUUUGUAUCUUUGUUAAAUUUUGUCUAAACCCCUAACUUUGAGUAUCUAAUUUAAAAACUAUUUGUGUGCAUCUGUUGCCAAGAAUGAGCCCAUUGGUUUAGUGGUAAGGCUUCAUCUUACCCUUUGAUCUUGUGUUCGAGUCUGUGAGCAUGCAAAUGAGUAUUACUUUAUUAAUAUCUUUGUGUGCUGCCCAUCUAGUAGUGUUUAGGUUGAGUUUGGACUUUAGAAAUUCUGUUCAGAUUAGUAGGGUAGUGGUUGGUUAUGAUUUGGUUUAUAAUUUUAUUUUAUUUUGAAAAAAAAAGAUUAAUUAGUUUUCCCCAAAAUUUCUCCCAAUUCUACUCUCACGUCUCUCACUCCCCCACUCCCUUUUUUGGUUUUGUUUCACAUACUGUUUCUUUUCUUUUCUUUCUUUCCAAAGUUUUCUUCUUUUUCUUUCUUUCCCCUAUCAAUUUGCUAUCCGUCUACCAUUGUUACUUUGGUGUUAUGUCGCUAGAAUUUUGUAUCCGAUCUUGUGGGUUUUGAAGUUUUCUGCUACACUAUUGAUUUUGGUGCAAGUAUAAGUCUAUUCGUUUGGUUAGGAGGAUAAUCUCGUGAGGCGUAGAAUCAUACUCCGACGUUUAGGGAAUCAUAGAAUCGUUUCUUCGAUUGGAGUUUUAGGAAUCUCGUGGUUAAUUCGCAUAAGAAAAUAUCCAAGUGUGUGAAUCAAGCCUGUAAGAAAAGCGAAUUGAAGAAAGCCGAAAUCCCUACUGUCGACGUCACAUGACCAUAUGCCAAGUCGUGUUGCAGGCCAUGUGGACGACAUGGUCUAAGUUGUUCGGGUAGUGUGGGCCACACGGGCGUAUGGGCAAUACACGCAUGUGUAGGCCAUGUGGGCCACAUGGGUUGGGGCAUUUAGGCCGUAUUGGCCACACGCACGUAUGAGUCCAUUUUUUUGAAUAUUUACACCUAGGGUUUUUUGAUUUCUGGUUCGUAUUUAGACCCUCCGUUGGGACCAUACUGUGUAAUUAAGACUUGAAAACAUGAUAUUUGAUUAUAUGAUUUUCUAUGUGAUAUGAAUAAGGUAUGUGAUAUAUAUAGAAAUAUAUAUGAUCUGUGUUGUGGCAA